GCUGCCAGGCUUUGCUGCCCUUUGCUUACUUUCCUUCCGUGCAUCUGAGAGCAGCUGUACAAGCACACCAGGUCAUGCAGCCUCGAGAGGGAAUCCCGGGUCCCCUUAACUAGGAAGGGACGCAGUGACCUCUGACUAGAAAAUGCUUCCAGAGACACUCAGACAUCCAGCGCAGCAUUCCUGGGUGCAAACCAGCUGGGCUGACGGACAUGGCUGUCCUGCCACACUCACAGCAUCUACGGGGCAGAGCAGCACAGAGCUGGCAAAGAUCUCAACCAUCCUCCCUGAAAAUAAGCGGGAGCCUGCAGGUGGUGUGUGAUGAACAGUGUCAUCCAAAUAUGGAAACGUGCGACUUUGUGGGACCUAAACCGGGAGCCCUACGUCUGCUGAGCAGCAGUUCAGGUGCACCUCAGAGCUGCCUGGAAGCUGUGCUUCGGUCCCACUACACUGAUUUACACAAAGGAAGCCCACAUCAUCAGUGAGGAGGAGGCUGGCCUGCACUUCUGCGGACCUCCACUCGUCCAGAGGACUCCCAUCACACCAGCACAGUGGUGCAGAGGAAAUGCAGGUGCAAGGAAGUACCUUUUGUUUGUCUUUCUGUAAAUCAUUCUAUUUUCAAUGUACUAGGCUUCACACCCAUCUGCAUUUAUGAUUUGCUCAUAUUUUCUGCUAUAUAAAGUUAGA